GCUGAACACAGGGGAUGGCAAAGGCCUAGUGAAGAGUCCAGAUGUAGACUUAAAGAGCUCUGGAAUCUCCUCCAAGGGUUCAGCCAGAAGCCAUCUGACUGGCUAUGACCAGUAUUGGGGACUUUAUUCUUCCAAAGGCAGUCUAUCCAAUUUUUGGACCACUCUGAUGGUGUCAGAGGCCUUCUGUAGAUUGAGCUCAAAUAACUCACUUCUAGUUGUCUUAGGUCAACAAUGUGUGGCCACAGAGAUUAAGUCAAACUCCUCUUCAUCUCUGUGCUGUUCCUGAAUUUGCCAGCCUUCCAGGUUUCUGAGUUGUUGAUAAACACCGCACAGGAGACAUGAGGACAGAACCCUUCAGUGGAGACCUGUUUGGAUAUUGCAGGGGCUUUCUGUGCCCCGCCUAUGCGUGAUUUCAGCGCUGUGCUUUCAGAGGCAUUUGUAGCAGUGUUGGCAACUGAUUUCAGUGGUCCAGUGUCCAGAUAAUUGGAGUGGCAGUGGAGGCUGAUGUCCGAAUAGUCCGAAUAGUCCCUGAGAUGGUGUGUUCUGGACCUCAGGUACUCCAGUGGCAAGCUGCUGGUUCCUCACCAUCCUGAUUGUGACAAAGGUCACAUGAUUAUCUGCGAUGUUUCAGGAGUCAUUUCUACAUACUCAAUCUAGAGUCCUGCCUUCAGCCCUUCCAAUAAUUUUUAAAGUACUUAAUUCCAGUAUUAACUCCCUUUGUGCCUCAAAAUUCCUAUGGUGAUUUCUGAUUCCUGCAUUAAACUUUUUUUAUACAGAUGAGUAAAUGGCGUCUUAGAGAGUAUUUUAAAAGGUUGUCCAGCUAAUAAGAGGUAGAUCAAGAACUCUAUGCCAAUUAGAUUAAAAAGUGCUCCAAAAUUUAGAACUAGAG
rnacentral:lncRNA from 1 species